CUUGGCACUUGUGGAAUUCUCUG
rnacentral:miRNA from 1 species